AUUGCAAAGCAGUCGUGUGUUAGGAGGCCGCUGAUUUGAAGACCUGCAUGUUUCCAAGACCAUGGACCGACUCUACACAAAUGACAAUGACAACGUUCAGUAUGCUUCCUCGUGUGACUCGUGCAGAAAGCCCUCAGGAAGACUGCUCUGAUAACUUGGUAAAUAAAAAAAACCCUGUCUGUUCGUUCCUGUGCGAUUGCUUCAAGUUCGAAAUGUGCGACUGACAUGAGAUGCAUCAAGGAAAAACUAUUUUACAGAUAGUCGUGUUUUUUUUCCCCAUAUUCAUAUUUCUUUUACAGAGUAAUCCCAAGGUCUACAAUGGGUGGUGCCUGAUGUACAUCAAGUUCAUCUUUGUAGAAGCUGUUGGCGACACGCACAGAGGCCACGGAUGAUGAAACAAGGAACGCAAUGGCUUUAAAAUUAAAACGGGCUCCAGCGCUGAGUAGCAAAGGGGGCUAUCAAAAGCCCACAAGAGAGUGAUGUUUAUAUUGUUGUGUUUCGCCGAGCUGGUUGUUUAGUUUGAUAUGUCCUACAUAAAAUAUGUAGUAUAU